UACGGGGGGAGCAAGCGUUGUUCGGAUUUACUGGGCGUAAAGGGCGCGUAGGCGGCCACCGCAAGUCGACUGUGAAAUCUCCGGGCUUAACCCGGAAAGGUCAGCCGAUACUGCGGGGCUAGAGUGCAGAAGGGGCAACUGGAAUUCUCGGUGUAGCGGUGAAAUGCGUAGAUAUCGAGAGGAACACCUGCGGCGAAGGCGGCGACCUGGGUGGAUACUGACGCUGAGGUGCGAAAGCGUGGGGAGCAAACAGG
rnacentral:rRNA from 1 species